UGCGCCUUGCCAGCCCGCUCAGAAACUUAAAUGAAUUGACGGGGCCCGCACAAGCGGAGGAGCAUGUGGUUUAAUUCGAUGAUACGCGAGGAACCUUACCUGGGCUUAAAUGCUUAAUGACGUACUGGGAAACUGGUAUUUCUUCGGACAUUUUGCAAGGUGCUGCAUGGUUGUCGUCAGCUCGUGCCGUGAGGUGUCGGGUUAAGUCCCAUAACGAGCGCAACCCCUAUUGUUAGUUGCCAUCAGGUCAUGCUGGGGACUCUAACAAAACUGCCCGCGUAAGCGUGGAGGAAGGUGGGGAUGACGUCAAAUCAGCACGGCCCUUACGUCCAGGGCUACACACGUGCUACAAUGGCCGGUACAGAGGGCAGCCACUUGGUGACAAGGAGCAAAUCUCAAAAGCCGGUCUCAGUUCGGAUCGGAGUCUGCAACUCGACUCCGUGAAGUUGGAUUCGCUAGUAAUCGUAGAUCAGCAAUGCUACGGUGAAUACGUUCCCGGGCCUU
rnacentral:rRNA from 1 species